GAUGAACGCUGGCGGCGUGCCUAAUACAUGCAAGUCGAACGGAGAAUGUAGCAAUACAUUCUUAGUGGCGAACGGGUGAGUAACGCGUUGGUGACCUGCCUCGAAGAGAGGGAUAACAGUCCGAAAGGAUUGCUAAUACCCCAUGUCGUCAUGGCGCUUAGAAAGCCAUGUCGAAAGGUGCAAACCGCUCUGGGAGGGGCCUGCGUCCCAUCAGCUAGUUGGUAGGGUAAUGGCCUACCAAGGCGACGACGGGUAGGGGACCUGAGAGGGUGACCCCCCACACUGGCACUGAAACACGGGCCAGACACCUACGGGAGGCUG
rnacentral:rRNA from 1 species